UACGGAGGGUGCAAGCGUUGUUCGGAAUUACUGGGCGUAAGGAGCGUGUAGGCGGCAAGGUAAGUCAGGCGUGAAAGCCCUGGGCUUAACCCAGGAAGUGCGUUUGAAACUGCCUCGCUCGAGUAUGGGAGAGGAGAGUGGAAUUCCCGGUGUAGAGGUGAAAUUCGUAGAUAUCGGGAGGAACACCCGUGGCGAAGGCGACUCUCUGGACCAAUACUGACGCUGAGACGCGAAAGCGUGGGGAGCAAACAGGAUUAGAUACCCUGGUAGUCCACGCUGUAAACGAUGAGCACUAGGUGUAGCGGGUAUUGACCCCUGCUGUGCCGCAGCUAACGCAUUAAGUGCUCCGCCUGGGGAGUACGGCCGCAAGGCUAAA
rnacentral:rRNA from 1 species